rnacentral:tRNA from 1 species
AUCAUUGUAGUGUAUGAAACACACUUCAUUUUCGUUGAAGAGAAGGAAUUCAAAUUCCCUAGGAUA